GUGAUAAGGAGGGUGUGGAGGGGCUGUGGGAGAUCGGAAGGGAUUGGAGGAGGGGCAGGUGGGUGCGGGAAGGAAAGGAUUGUGGGAGGGAGGGGGAGGGGUUCGGAGCACAUGGUCGCCGCCAUUAUACCGCCGCGUGGGUUUCAGAGGCACUGCAGUGCUCUCUGAAAAGAACUCCGGACUAUAUUUCUCAGAAGAACCAGGUGUUAGAAGAGGAUACAGGGACAUGUCCUUCUCUGGUGUAAGUGGCCAAGCUCCAUGGUAGUCCAUCGGACCCAGCAGAGGUACCAAUCCCAUGCAUGAAAGUUACUGUUUUGCAAUUUGAUCACCUCUCAAAUACUUGCUAGCAAAAUGUACUCCCUGCAAACCCUAGCAACUAAUUUUCUGUCUACCAUUUUUAAGGUGUCACUGCUCACAGAUCCAGUAUGGAAUCUUUUGCUGCUGCCAACAUAUGCUGUAUUCUUAAUCAGUUCUCAUUUUGCAAAAGCACUCUUUGGCAUAUUAGAAAAUGUACACAUCUCACUGUCCUUCAAUAAGUAGAAUUACACCUCCUUUUCCCCUUCCACUGUGAUUAGUCUGCGGACAUUUUUCUUUUAAGUUCUGUUCAUAAACUUCAUACAGAAAUAGUAGUGACUGAUUACAGGAGCCUUGUCUUUAAUCAGAAGUGCUGCCCAUUAGCCCUAAGCAUUUGACUUGCAUAUUCUUUAAUCAGAUGCCACAUGUUCCUCAAUAUGACACCAGAAAGAUAUAAUCCUGAUAGUCUGUAUCAGAUGAUGUUGUUAUUACAUUUGUGGGCUGAUGCUGAAACCGAAAACCUUCUCUGCCUGAAUGUUGGACUUACCAUUUGUGUGUGCUUACCUGAAAAAUCGCUCAAGCAUGCCUCUUAACACUGCAUACAAUUAAUGGCUUUUGUCAUUUUCCUUUUUAAAAAUCUAAAAAUUAAAAUUAUACUUUACUAGGUAUUAGGAAUUUGACAAUAUCUUACCGUAUUUAAUUAAGUACUCAAGGUUCGAUCAAAAGUACAUCAGAAUGUUGUUAUAGAAUAUCCCAAAAUAAAGUUUCUUGAAGUAGAGAUAAGAACCAGUUACACAAUAGUAGGCAAAACAGAGAUUGUGUGAAUCUAUGAGUUGAUUACACUGCUUCCUUGCUUAAACUAAAGUGCUGUGGUUGUCCCAUUUCAAACUCCACUAGAAUACAGUAAAUUGUAACUCCUAAAAUAACAUAUUAGUAUAUAUUCAAUUAGGAAUACACUUAGAAUCUCUGCUCAUGAAUUGAUCAUAAUUUCUGUGAGACUUGAUUGGUAUUUGUGGAUCUAGAACUUACGACUUUGAGAGACACUUUUUGUCUGAUCCUUGGUCCUAGUGGGAGCUAGGGACUGACUAGGAUUCCUGACUACUGUCUUCUUAAAGCCUCCUGUGAUUUUUGGGACAAUCCUGUGUACUGUAACAUACAAGAAAAAGCCUAGGCAAUAACACUAAAUCAUUUAAAUCCCUGUUCCAGAUUGAAAAGCAAGAUCUAUUCUAUUUGCCAUCUGUAUGGCAGUUGUCUUGUGUUAAGUGAGCAGUUUUUCUUUAUGUCUUCCACAAUCAACCCUCCCUCCGGGGAAACAUCUGCUGAUAAUGGGCCAGUGAGUGUCACUGCAUGACUGAUAAGAACUAUAACAUCCCAUUGGGAGAUGCUCCACCCAGAGAGAGGAACCAAGCAUUCCUACCUGCAUAUACUCUUGAGAUUCUGGCCCACCAACACAGCUUUUUCUGCACUGGAUUUCCCAGAGCCUCUUCCACUGCCUCUUCAGAGGAAGACUACACCCUUUUCUACAGGAUCACUGCUCCAACAAAACCACUCCAGGAGGACUGCAGCCACAAUUCCAAUUAAACUGCUACCAACACCCUGUCCAACAGGGUGUCAAGUUUAUUCUGACACUGUUUUUUAGUUUACUGCAUUGUUUAUGUUAUCUUUUUAUUUUCUUCCCUAAUAGAGAACUGUUAUUUCUGCUCCCAUAUUUCUGCCUGAGAGCCGCCCUCAAAUUAGUAACAAUUCAGAGGGAGGGGGUUUACAGUUUUCCAUUUCAGAGGAGGCUCCUGCCUUCGUUAGCAGACAGCUGUCUUUCAGAACCAAGACAAUCCCUGAGCAUUCACAUACAUGCUUGAUAUUCCAUUGCAUGCCAGGGCAGGCAACUGAGACCUUUAUAGCUACUUCUUUUUCUGAUCCCAGGGAUAACAGGUCCUGGAUCCCAUGCCUGCCCUGUUACCUACUACAUUUUCUGGGGCUAAAUAGCUAAAAUAGCUCAUUUUUCAGUUCACAAAUUCAUCAUACCACUCCCUCAUAUAAGAAAUACUUAUUUUUGUAUAUAGCUCAUUUAAAAACAUCCUUCAAACAAGCUUUCAGUGAAAGGCAAAGUAACAUUGUUACUUCUAAUAGGAUCAUUACAAAUGUUCUUAAUAAAGUUAGCAAGCAGGGCAGGAGGUUGUUAGAGCAGAUACUGAACACACUUGCAUCAUAAUCAUCCUUAGAUGCAUUACAGACAAUCUCCUGACGGAAGAGCUUUCUGCUCAUAAUCAGCUUUAUUAGUUUCUUUGGGCUUGGAAAUGUUCUGUGAUUGGACCACAAGACCUUCACUCCAUCUGCACAUGCAACUUUUGUCACAUAAAACUACUUCCUACCACCAGGGUGACUAAGGGAGAUGCUUUUGCAGAGUGAAGUGUCUUUGCCGAUUAAGCAAAAUAUUUAAAAUAGUUUGUACACUGACAAAAUGCUCCACAGAAAUAUUUGAAUAGGAAAAUUAAAGUGGCUCAUUACCAGCUCUUGACUGAAAACAGACAUGACCAUAAUUAAAUCAUUGCAAGGUGACAUUACGUUUCAUGUGGCUGAUCUCUUCCACAGUGUUUGAGAAAGCUUAACAAGUACCAAAUAUAGAUAACAGCAUGGUGUAGCUUCCUCAGUUGUUCUCUUCACUUUUAGCAUUGUUUACAAUUUUAUACCAUUUCUUCUAUCAGUAUAAAAGCUUAACUGGCUUUUGCAUGUGUCCUCUUUGUACAAAUUCAUUUUCUCAGAUAUUCAUAUCAAGAGUGGAUUCAUGCUUUACAUGAAAA